rnacentral:misc_RNA from 1 species
GCAAACUUGGUCAUUUAGAGGAAGUAAAAGUCGUAACAAGGUUUCCGUAGGUGAACCUGCGGAAGGAUCAUUAUUGAAUAAAAAAUGAUCGAGUUGUUGCUGGCUUUUUAUUUUAUAAAUAAGCAUUGUGCACACUUGAUCUGCUUUUAAUAUCCUUUCUUGUGCAUUUUGUGUAGACUGAAACAGACUUGUCGAGAUCUGACUUGGUUAAAGAAUCUGCCGUAUAAAAGCUGGCUUUUCUUGUGUUUCAGAUCUGCAAUAUUUUUUGUAACACACUUUGCUUUAAAGUAUUCGAAUGAAUAAAACACAUUAUACAGGUCACAUUUAAUGCCUGUAAAUAAAUGUCAAAUACAACUUUCAACAACGGAUCUCUUGGCUCUUGCAUCGAUGAAGAACGCAGC